UGGGGCAGGGAGGGGGCCAAGGUGAGGCAAGUGGCACCAGCCAGGUGCACACCCAAUGCCCGUGAGCCCAGACACUGGACCCUCGCUGAGAGACAAGAACGGAGGGGCCUCUGCGCCCUGGGCCCAGCUCUGUCCCACACCGCAGUCACAUGGUGCCACGUCUCUUGCAGCCUCCACCAAGGGCCCAUCGGUCUUCCCCCUGGCGUCCUGCUCCAGGAGCACCUCCCAGAGCACAGCGGCCCUGGGCUGCCUGGUCAAGGACUACUUCCCCGAACCCGUGACCGUGUCGUGGAACUCAGGCGCCCUGACCAGCGGCGUGCACACCUUCCCGGCUGUCCUACAGUCCUCAGGGCUCUACUCCCUCAGCAGCGUGGUGACCGUGCCCUCCAGCAGCUUGGGCACCCAGACCUACACCUGCAACGUCGUUCAUGAGCCCAGCAACACCAGGGUGGACAAGAGAGUUGGUGAGAGGCCAGCGAGGGAGGGAGGGUUAACUCCCAAUCUUCUCUCUGCGCAGUGUCCAAGUGGUCCCAACUGCCCACCGUGCCCAGCACCUGAACUCCUGGGGGGACCGUCAGUCUUCCUCUUCCCCCCAAAACCCAAGGACACCCUCAUGAUUUCCCGGACCCCUGAGGUCACGUGCGUGGUGGUAGACGUGAGCCAGGAAGACCCUGAUGUCCAGUUCAACUGGUACGUGGACGGCGUGGAGGUGCAUCAUGCCCAGACGAAGCCGCGGGAGGGGCAGUUCAACAGCACGUACCGCGUGGUCAGCGUCCUCACCGUCACGCACCAGGACUGGCUGAACGGCAAGGAGUACACGUGCAAGGUCUCCAACAAAGGCCUCCCGGGCCCUGUGGAGAAAACCGUCUCCAAAGCCAAAGGGCAGCCCCGAGAGCCGCAGGUGUACACCCUGCCCCCGUCCCGGGAGGAGCUGAUCAAGAACCAGGUCAGCCUGACCUGCCUGGUCACAGGCUUCUACCCCAGCGACAUUGUCGUGGAGUGGGAGAGCAGCGGGCAGCCGGAGAACACCUACAAGACCACCCCGCCCGUGCUGGACUCCGACGGCUCCUACUUCCUCUACAGCAAGCUCACCGUGGACAAGAGCAGGUGGCAGCCGGGGAAUGUCUUCUCAUGCUCCGUGAUGCAUGAGGCUCUGCACAACCACUACACCCAGAAGAGCCUCUCCGUGUCUCCGGAGCUGCAACUGGAGGAGAGCUGUGCGGAGGCGCAGGACGGGGAGCUGGACGGGCUGUGGACGACCAUCACCAUCUUCAUCACACUCUUCCUGCUAAGCGUGUGCUACAGUGCCACCGUCACCUUCUUCAAGGUGAAGUGGAUCUUCUCCUCAGUGGUGGACCUGAAGCAGACCAUCGUCCCCGACUACAGGAACAUGAUCGGGCAGGGGCCCUAGGGCCACCC